rnacentral:rRNA from 1 species
AUGGAUCUAAUCGGCGGUGCGCAAAGGCGAUCAAUGGAGGAUGGCAACAUCAACCGGACAGGAGGGACAAAGGCAAGGGCGGCACUCCUUACCCCACGCUCAGCAAGUGUGCAAAUGGAUGAGGCGCUCAUGAGGCUCGAGAUCUUCGAAGAGAAGGCAACCUUGUUGGUGAUCAACGACCUGGAAGAGGAAGACGAUCUUCAUCGUUUUACGCCUGGCCUAGGACAACCCAAGGGGCUCGAUUGCUCGGUUGCUAGAAAAAAACACAUGUUUGCUGAAGAGUUCGAAACCAAGCGGGUCGUGAUCAUGUUUGGGAGAGCUUGCCAUGGCAUAUUAGCAAGAACACUGUGA